rnacentral:lncRNA from 1 species
UCUUUUCCAACUUAAUUUUCCCAAAUAUUCACCCCAACCCUAAAGUGACUGUAAAUCGAUUUCUUCUCCCUUACAAAUCGAUUUUCAGCAAAAUCAAGAAACAACCUCUCCUCCCAAACCACCUUCCUAAGCAUAAAAAUGAAUUGAAAUCUCUCGAAAUAGCCCUCAAAUUGAAACCAUUUCGCUUGGGUCGAUCCACCUCCGCAUCCACAGUUCAAAUGUUAUGCAACAAUUAUGUUGAGUAGAUUGAAGCUGUAUAAGCUGGGUUUGGGUCUCAUAUUGGUUGUUACUUGUAUGGAUUUGAUCUUUGCCCGCCACCAGGAUUAGAAGAUUGUUUAGGUGACCCGUCAUUCAUCUAUUCAUUCUGGCCAGCAUGUGUGCUUUUGACAAAUUGUUAGAUGAGGCUCACUCAUCAAGAGCGAGUUCAAUUUGUGACCGAAAGCUUAUCCCAAAUUCAUCUUUUGCCUUUGUUUGUUACCUUUUGAAGCUCCAAAUGAGAUAGAUUCUGUUGGAAUUUUGAGUUGAAAAUACAAACAAAGAAUUGGAUAAAGAAUUAGCUCAUCGAGAUAUUAAAUCUUAUUAGGUUGUUGUGGUUUUUUGAAUAUGUAGUUAGUUUUGUAAGUUGUAUAUGGCUGGCGUAGGAAUAUUUGUGGUUUUCUGUUUUAGCUCAAUGAUAGCAGUGUUGAUGGUGGUGAAAUCAUCAAAGUAAUCCUCAUGUACUUUCUAGUUUUAAAUUGAAUAGGUGCCUUUUGUGUUCAUCUUAGUUACAUUCAUGUUUAGUUUCAUGUUGAUGGUUGUAAAAUCAUGAUGGGAAACUUGCUAUUGUUGCUAAACUGGGAUUAUGAUGAUUUACAAGAACGAAAAGUCACUUCA